UGCAUGGAUGGACUCUCCCCCUCUCAGAGUAUAAAGACAGGGAGAGAUCUGGGGGAAGCUCGACUUCAGCUGUGGGUAGAGAAGACAGGACUCAGGACAAUCUCCAGCAUGGCCUGGUUCCCUCUCCUCGUCACCCUCUUCACUCACUGUACAGGGUCCUGGGCCCAGUCUGUUUUGACUCAGCCAUCCUCAGUGUCUGGGACCCCCGGGCAGAGGGUCACCAUCUCUUGCUCUGGAAGCAGCUCCAACAUCGGAAGUAAUAAUGUAUACUGGUACCAGCAGCUCCCAGGAACGGCCCCCAAACUCCUCAUCUAUGAUAAUAAUCAGCGGCCCUCAGGGGUCCCUGACCGAUUCUCUGGCUCCAAGUCUGGCACCUCAGCCUCCCUGGCCAUCAGUGGGCUCCAGACCGAGGAUGAGGCUGAUUAUUACUGCGAAGCAUGGGAUGACAGCCUGAGUGGUCCCACAGUGCUGCAGGCCCAGGGGGAAGUGAGACAAGAACCCCCUUCCUCCUCUGUCAGGAGGGUGAGCCCCGGCAGCUGCUGCUCAGGUCUGGCCUGUGGCUUCUGCUGCUGUAGCUUCCCUCACGGGUCCAGGGGCAUCCAGGGCCCUGCCUGA